rnacentral:rRNA from 1 species
GAUGAACGCUGGCGGCGUGCCUAAUACAUGCAAGUAGAACGCUGAAGCUUGGUGCUUGCACCGAGCGGAUGAGUUGCGAACGGGUGAGUAACGCGUAGGUAACCUGCCUCUUAGCGGGGGAUAACUAUUGGAAACGAUAGCUAAUACCGCAUAAAAGUCGACAUCGCAUGAUGUUGACUUGAAAGGUGCAAAUGCAUCACUAAGAGAUGGACCUGCGUUGUAUUAGCUAGUUGGUGAGGUAACGGCUCACCAAGGCAACGAUACAUAGCCGACCUGAGAGGGUGAUCGGCCACACUGGGACUGAGACACGGCCCAGACUCCUACGGGAGGCAGCAGUAGGGAAUCUUCGGCAAUGGGGGCAACCCUGACCGAGCAACGCCGCGUGAGUGAAGAAGGUUUUCGGAUCGUAAAGCUCUGUUGUAAGAGAAGAACGAGUGUGAGAGUGGAAAGUUCACACUGUGACGGUAACUUACCAGAAAGGGACGGCUAACUACGUGCCAGCAGCCGCGGUAAUACGUAGGUCCCGAGCGUUAUCCGGAUUUAUUGGGCGUAAAGCGAGCGCAGGCGGUUAGAUAAGUCUGAAGUUAAAGGCUGUGGCUUAACCAUAGUACGCUUUGGAAACUGUUUAACUUGAGUGCAGAAGGGGAGAGUGGAAUUCCAUGUGUAGCGGUGAAAUGCGUAGAUAUAUGGAGGAACACCGGUGGCGAAAGCGGCUCUCUGGUCUGUAACUGACGCUGAGGCUCGAAAGCGUGGGGAGCAAACAGG